rnacentral:rRNA from 1 species
GUCCACGCCGUAAACUAUGAACACUAGGUAUUGGAGGAUUUGACCCCUUCAGUGCCGUAGCUAACGCGUUAAGUGUUCCGCCUGGGAAGUACGGUCGCAAGACUAAAACUCAAAGGAAUUGACGGGGCCCGCACAAGCGGUGGAUUAUGUGGUUUAAUUCGAAGCAACGCGCAGAACCUUACCUAGGCUUGAAAUCCCAUGAAUCCCUUUUAAACGAGGGAGUGCUCUUCGGAGAAUAUGGUGACAGGCGCUGCAUGGCUGUCGU